rnacentral:tRNA from 1 species
CAAAGAAUAAUUUAAAAAAAAUAAUAAUUUUGGAGAUUAAAUAUAGAUAGAAAAUCUUUCUUUGA